GUGCUCGCUUUGGCAGCACAUAUACUAAAAUUGGAACGAUACCGAGAAGAUUAGCAUGGCCCUUGUGCAAGGAUGACAUGCAAAUUCAUGAAGCAUUCCAUAUUUAA
rnacentral:snRNA from 1 species